UGGGGAAUAUUGCACAAUGGGCGCAAGCCUGAUGCAGCCAUGCCGCGUGUGUGAAGAAGGCCUUCGGGUUGUAAAGCACUUUCAGCGAGGAGGAAGGUGGUGAGCUUAAUACGCUCAUCAAUUGACGUUACUCGCAGAAGAAGCACCGGCUAACUCCGUGCCAGCAGCCGCGGUAAUACGGAGGGUGCAAGCGUUAAUCGGAAUUACUGGGCGUAAAGCGCACGCAGGCGGUUUGUUAAGUCAGAUGUGAAAUCCCCGGGCUCAACCUGGGAACUGCAUUUGAAACUGGCAAGCUAGAGUCUCGUAGAGGGGGGUAGAAUUCCAGGUGUAGCGGUGAAAUGCGUAGAGAUCUGGAGGAAUACCGGUGGCGAAGGCGGCCCCCCUGGACGAAGACUGACGCUCAGGUGCGAAAGCGUGGGGCAGCAAACAGGAUUAGAUACCCUGGUAGUCCACGCUGUAAACGAUGUCGAUUUUGGAGGUUGUGCCCUUGAGGCGUGGCUUCCGGAGCUAACGCGUUAAAUCGACCGCCUGGGGAGUACGGCCGCAAGGUUAAAACUCAAAGGAAUUG
rnacentral:rRNA from 1 species